rnacentral:lncRNA from 1 species
GGGAAGGGCAAUUUGGGAAAGUGAGGUGGUGAUUUUCCACUUAACGCAUUUGGCUUAAAUUACGAAAUUACCCCUGACGGAGUAUAGUGUUGAAAUGACGAAUCUGCCCCUGACGGGGGUUUUUCUUUUUCUUUUUUUUUUCUCAUGAGCUCGGUGUGAAUCGGAGCCGUUCGAUCUGAAUCGAACGAUGGAUCUUCUGGUGCCAUUCUCUAUUAUCGGAUUUGGAUUAGAUACAGAACAGGCCGUGCAAUGUACGGUACGACAAUCAGAAAACAAGAGGACACGUGUGACGUCUACAUUAAAUUCUUCUGUGGGGCCCACUGUUAAAACUACCAUUUCAUGUUCCCACCAGAAUUUGAUUUUUUUUUCUUUUAUUUGGAAAAAUGUUAUAUGCUGCACUCCAUCCAUUUUAUAGAGAGAGAGAGAGAGAGAGAGUGUAGGACUACUAUAUUCUUAUGAGUAUAGAGCCAUUUUUACUCAUUAAUUAUUUUAAUAAUGGACCUUCUGAAUUGAUGAUCCAUAAUGUUAAAUAUAAACUUGAGUAUUUAAAACUUCUAGAAAAUAAAUUUUGUAAUUUUUCGAAAUCAUAAUAAAGUUCAUCAAGUGGGUAUAAAAUAAACAGUCAAAAUUGAACGUCUUUCUAAAAUAAAUGAUCGGAUCUUUCAAUUUAAAAUCGAAGUUAUUGAUCUUUAUUGGGAUAGUGAAUAAUAUUUUCUAUCAGAAAUUCAAUCAAUUUCGGUUCUUUUACACCUAUACUUUUAAACUAGCAAGUAUUUCAUACCAGCCAUUAAAAAUUUUUAAUUUCAAGAUCUUUUGAUCAUACGGUAAAUGAUAUCAAAAAAUUAUGAAAUUUGAUUUCUAGAAUUUUCAAAUACUCUAAACUCAUGUUUAACAGUAUAAAUCAUCGAUUUUAAAAUUCUAUCAUCGAGGACAAUUUAUGAGUACGAAUACUCAUAAAAAUAUUAUAGCCUUAAAAUUAUACUAAAAUUAUUGAAAAUAAAAAAGUAUCUCUCUAUUUUUCACUUCAGCUCCGUUUUGCUAAGGAUGUGUUUAUUUUACAGAAAGCAGAAAAAAAUUAAAAUAAUUUUUAGUCAUAAAUGCUCACUUAUGUUGUUUGAUUCAUUGCAAGUGAAUUAAUGCCUAACUUAAGCUAUUCAAAGUAUCCUAAUUAAAUUUAGUUCAUCAUGGGCUAAAAGUCAAUUAUAGAGAAAAGGAGUAUGAAAAAUAAUAAAAUAUUAAUGUUGGGGAACUUGUUUUCGUCCUCCAUAAUAUCAACGUGUGAGAAUUAAAUAUUUUUUAGUGAAAAAAAACAGAAAAUAAAAAAAUUUAUCUUUUAUACAAUUAACUUUCUGCCAAAUAGACAGCAGAACUAGAAUUUAGUUCUGCAACUAUAAAAAUAAUUUACAGAGGAGAACUAAUUUUCAUCUUAGCUUUAGUUCGACUAAAAAUCUAUUUUAACCUAAGCUUUAAUUUUGAUAAAACAAAUAUGCUUCAAAUAAUAUUAGUUAGGUCCCA